rnacentral:rRNA from 1 species
GUGAAGCCCAGCUUGCUGGGUGGAUCAGUGGCGAACGGGUGAGUAACACGUGAGCAACCUGCCCUCCACUUCGGGAUAAGCCUUGGAAACGGGGUCUAAUACCGGAUAUGAGCUCGCAUCGCAUGGUGUGGGUUGGAAAGUUUUUCGGUGGGGGAUGGGCUCGCGGCCUAUCAGCUUGUUGGUGGGGUGAUGGCCUACCAAGGCGUCGACGGGUAGCCGGCCUGAGAGGGCGACCGGCCACACUGGGACUGAGACACGGCCCAGACUCCUACGGGAGGCAGCAGUGGGGAAUAUUGCACAAUGGGCGCAAGCCUGAUGCAGCGACGCCGCGUGAGGGAUGACGGCCUUCGGGUUGUAAACCUCUUUCAGCAGGGAAGAAGCGCAAGUGACGGUACCUGCAGAAGAAGCGCCGGCUAACUACGUGCCAGCAGCCGCGGUAAUACGUAGGGCGCAAGCGUUGUCCGGAAUUAUUGGGCGUAAAGAGCUCGUAGGCGGUCUGUCGCGUCUGGUGUGAAAUCCCGAGGCUCAACCUCGGGCUUGCAUCGGGUACGGGCAGACUAGAGUGCGGUAGGGGAGACUGGAAUUCCUGGUGUAGCGGCGGAAUGCGCAGAUAUCAGGAGGAACACCGAUGGCGAAGGCAGGUCUCUGGGCCGCAACUGACGCUGAGGAGCGAAAGCAUGGGGAGCGAACAGGAUUAGAUACCCUGGUAGUCCAUGCCGUAAACGUUGGGCACUAGGUGUGGGGCUCAUUCCACGAGUUCCGUGCCGCAGCUAACGCAUUAAGUGCCCCGCCUGGGGAGUACGGCCGCAAGGCUAAAACUCAAAGGAAUUGACGGGGGCCCGCACAAGCGGCGGAGCAUGCGGAUUAAUUCGAUGCAACGCGAAGAACCUUACCAAGGCUUGACAUGUACGAGAAAGCCCCCGAGACGGGGUUCUCUUUGGACACUCGUACACAGGUGGUGCAUGGUUGUCGUCAGCUCGUGUCGUGAGAUGUUGGGUUAAGUCCCGCAACGAGCGCAACCCUCGUCCUAUGUUGCCAGCGGGUUAUGCCGGGGACUCAUGGGAGACUGCCGGGGUCAACUCGGAGGAAGGUGGGGAUGACGUCAAAUCAUCAUGCCCCUUAUGUCUUGGGCUUCACGCAUGCUACAAUGGCCGGUACAGAGGGCUGCGAUACCGUAAGGUGGAGCGAAUCCCAAAAAGCCGGUCUCAGUUCGGA